AUCGUCCUCCUCAUCGCUGUCUCUCAUGCUGAUACCCUGCAGGCCGUCUCCCGCCUUGACCGCCGCUGUGGCUUCCUCCACCGUCAGCCGGUUGUAGAUGGUCUCGUAGCUCUUGUUGUUCAGCGUGCCAUCUAGGACGCCCUGCAGCCUGAAGUCACGGCAAAAAUGUGGUUGAUUGGGUGACGCGUUAUCAGCAGGCAGAGGGUCUACAUGUGGAGGAGAUCGGGGUACCCGAUGGUUCAGACAGACACCAGACAUUCACCCAGCAGACCAGUGAGUCCCAUGCAAGUUACGUGAUGGAUGUAAUCAGAUGCAAGUCAUGUAUACGCAGACCAGUCCAGACCAGUCCAGACCAGUCCAGACCA